GGCGUGCCUAAUACAUGCAAGUCGAGCGAACUGAUUAGAAGCUUGCUUCUAUGACGUUAGCGGCGGACGGGUGAGUAACACGUGGGCAACCUGCCUGUAAGACUGGGAUAACUUCGGGAAACCGAAGCUAAUACCGGAUAGGAUCUUCUCCUUCAUGGGAGAUGAUUGAAAGAUGGUUUCGGCUAUCACUUACAGAUGGGCCCGCGGUGCAUUAGCUAGUUGGUGAGGUAACGGCUCACCAAGGCAACGAUGCAUAGCCGACCUGAGAGGGUGAUCGGCCACACUGGGACUGAGACACGGCCCAGACUCCUACGGGAGGCAGCAGUAGGGAAUCUUCCGCAAUGGACGAAAGUCUGACGGAGCAACGCCGCGUGAGUGAUGAAGGCUUUCGGGUCGUAAAACUCUGUUGUUAGGGAAGAACAAGUACGAGAGUAACUGCUCGUACCUUGACGGUACCUAACCAGAAAGCCACGGCUAACUACGUGCCAGCAGCCCGCGGUAAUACGUAGGUGGCAAGCGUUAUCCGGAAUUAUUGGGCGUAAAGCGCGCGCAGGCGGUUUCUUAAGUCUGAUGUGAAAGCCCACGGGU
rnacentral:rRNA from 1 species